UGGGUUACCCAAGUCACUCCGGUAAUCAAACAAAUCGUAAAGUAAACAUCAAAUGAAAACCCAGCUCGAUCUAGUUUGCCCCUGAAUUGUGUAAAACCAACGAAUUCCAUACUAGAUAAAUUCCUUAACUCCUGAAGACAACAAAAACCAAGAGAAACUUCCAUCACUUUCCUUUUAAGCACCGAAACAAAGAUUCAUAGACAUCUUCGUUUUUUUCCGUCUUUAGUUCUUCUCUCAAACCAGAGCCUCUGUCUAUCGUCAGUCGAGUUCCACCGCCGCGUUAGCAAAACUGGGUACCCCGUUCUCCAGAUAAGCCGAGAUUUCAAAUUUGUCUUCCUCAUUCAUUUGAGCCUUUUUCACCACAGUUAAUGAAACCCCUUCGACCUCCACCGGCCUUAUUCCCAAAUCUAAUCCUAUCUGUAUUGCCUAGAUGUAAGGCAAAGCUUCAGUUGCAAACGUCGAAGGUAUGUUUUCGUUAAUCACUAUUUUUGAACCUAUCACUUGUCCUCUUGAAUCCCUACUAAAAAUACCAGAUCAUGACCUCUUUUCUUGAUUUCUAUAUGCAACAUCGAAAUUUAACUUAACAAAUGGGUUUUUCGGCAUCUUCCAUCACUCAGUCACCUCCUUCCUCUCAGGCAAUCUAGUUUCUAUUUCCCAUGCCUGUAAUAUUUUAGGGCCACACAAAAUUCAAGUGAUUCGAGACCUCCUUUGUAAUUCGACAACCCCGCAUUACAUGUUCUGUGGUUUCUACUUCCUCUUCAUAUAUAGGACAAACUAUUGUUCCAAUCAACCUUCUGUAAUGUAGAUUAUUAAAUGUAGGAAGAAAAUUACAGGCUAUUCUUCAUUUUGUAAUUUUUAUUUUUGGUGGUAGAUUCAAUAGCCAUAUUUUCUUGUAAAGGCUCCAUUCUGUGUUCUAGUUGUAACUAGUAUUAGGAUUUGUGAUUCCUUGUAAUCGAAGCUUGUAACCACUAUGAAUAGAGUACUCGCCCAAUCUUUACUUCUCUA